GGUCAAAAUUUUUGUCAACUUGCCGCCGCUUAGGUCAAGAGUGCUCUCUUGGGUCUCCUGAAGAAACAGUAUUUUCUGGGGUCGGGAAGAAGAGAAGUGGUGGCUUUCGGGGCUAUGGACGACGGGAAGGAGUUGAGGAAUGACUUGGGGGCUAAGGAUGACGGGAAUGAGAUAGCCCUUCUUGAAGAAGAGUUGAUCCAUUUAUCGGUGAAAAGCUCUAUUGUAGAUCCUUUUGAAAAGCCAACACUGAUUUGUUCUGUUUGGACGAGAAAAAAUUACAAUCUGGACAGCCUGAGAGCACAAGUGAGAAGUAUCUGGAAAACCAAAAAGAAGUUUGAGAUUAUGAUUGCAGGCCAAAAUCUAUUCAAGAUAGUAUUCGAAGAUGAGGAAGACUUAGAGCAGAUUAUGAAUGGGCGACCAUGGUUCUUUCGAAAGCAAUUAAUUAUUUUUGAUCGUUUAACAAAAUUAGUAGAGCGAAACAAGAUCUGAUUGGUUUCUUCACUGUUUUGGCUAAAGAUCGGCCCAUGCCCAUCUGAGUGUGAUAAAAAGGAUCUGAUGCAUGCUGUGGGGUCCACGUUUGGGGGAAUUAUUCAUUCUAAGAUCAAAGGUGAUUUUUGUCGUAUUAGAGUUCAUCUAGAUGUUUAAAAACCACUUAGAAAAGGGAUUUUUGUCUCUCUAAACGACCAAGAUAAAGCCUGGCUUCUUUUCAAAUAUGAGUGUCUCCUAACGUUUUGCUUUGGGUAUAGUCACAUGGGUUACGGGAUUAAAGAUUGUCUAAUGUUAUCAGAGGGGGAUCGCAGCAAGGCGGAGGAUGAACUUCCUUUCUCGGUAGCACUUAAGGCAGAAUUGUCAGAUUAGGCAGGGAGAGCUUACUGUUUGGUUCUUUGCAGAAGAAAAUAAUGAAAAAAUGUUACUACAUCGGUUAGGAGGUAGCGGGUAAAGUUGAUAGUGUUUCAAUAGAUUCUGUACAACAGAUGCAUCGGAUGGUGAAAGAAGUUGGUUUAGAGAAGUCCUUUGAUCUUAGGGAAAUAGGGAUUUUGCGGCAAAAAUUUAGGGAUAAUGAAACAAAUUUUUAUCCUCAUAAUAUGCCGAGAGAAGUGGAAGAAAACUCCAGUAGGGAUCACUGUCGUGAGGGAAAUAGGUCAAAUUAAAUUUCUGAAUCAAACAGGCAAAUCGAACUGAUUGAGGCCUAACAAUUGAGUCAAAAGAAAUAUAGCUGGAGGCGCUUUUCUAGUAAAGAAUCUUUUGAUGCAAACAUGGCUGGGAUGAUAAUGGGGAAGCGAAAAUUUAAUCACGAGAAAUUGGAUGAUAUUGAAGCAUACCUUUCGGAUGAUGUUAAAACAAAAAGGGCAAAUUUUGACAGCAUAUGUUCGGCAGAUUUUGCAACAACUGAGCCUUCAUGCUUUGUUUUAACAGAUGUUAGUGACCCUUCACAAAUUAUAUCGACGGCUACCAAAUGGCAAGCCGACUGAAAACAAUGAAACUCUUAUGCUGAAAUGUCCGGGGAUUGGGGAAUCCCCGGGCUAUCAAGAGGCUUCACCACAUGUUAAAGCUUUACAAACCCCAAAUGGUCUUCUUAAUGGAGACAAAGCUGGAUCAAAACAGAAUGGAACGUGUUCGAAAGCGCUGUGGGUUUUAUAAUGGGCUGGAUGUUUCAGCUUUUAGUUCAAGGGGAGGUCUAAGCUUGGCUUGGAAUGGGAAUUUUUUAAUUCAAGUUCGUAGUUACUCAACUAAUCAUAUUGACGCUGAGGUUUAUGAAGAUGAUGACUCAAUUAAAUAUAGAUUUACCGGGUUUUAUGGGAACCUACGACAAGCAAAUAGACAAGAAUCUUGGAAUCUCUUUAGAAGAUUACGAAGCACCUAUACUUUGCCGUGGUGUGUAGGAGGUGAUUUUAACGAAAUAAUGUACACUCAUGAGAAAAAAGGGGGAGCAACAAGAGAUUGACGAUAAAUAGAGGAAUUUAGGCAAGCUCUGACAGACUGUGAAUUGGUUGAUAUGGGUUUCAAAGGGAAAAAAGUUGGGAAAGGGAAAUUUUGAGAGCACAAAUGUUAGAGAAAGACUUGAUAGGAGUGUGGCGAAUAGUGAAUGGUUAAACUUGUUUCACGAUUUCUCUGUUACCCAUCUUCCUCACUCUUAUUCUGACCAUUGUCCACUUUUUAUACAAACAGAGCUUAAUGAAUAUCCAGCUGGAAAGAAGAGGUUUAAAUUCGAAUCUUGGUGGAUACUGGAACCGUCUUGUGAAGAUGCCAUCAAGAAAUUGUGGACUAAAAAGUCAGGAGAUGCGCUGGAAAAAUUAGAUUAUCUUCGAGUUAAUCUUCAAAGAUGGGGGAAGACUAUCAAAGGAGAGCGUGAUAAAAGAUCGAAGGCUUUACGGAAAAGAUUGGCUAAAUUAGAAGGUAUGAAUAGGAAUGAUGAUAAUUUAGCUGAGAUGAUAACUGUAAAAUUGGAAUUAAAUUGGGAGAUGGAAAAUGAGGAAUUGUAUUGGGAACAAAGGGCUAGAGCAAAUUGGUUGCGUCAAUGGGAUAAAAAUACGGCUUUUUUCCACAGCAAAACAUCUCAAAGACAUAGGAUAAACAAGAUUUGGGGACUGGAAAACAUGGAAGGAGAUUUAAAAAUAGAGGAUACGAAUAUGGAAAGCAUCAUAAGGGAUUAUUUCAUGGGAUUAUUCCAAUCAAGUGGAGUUGGUGAUACAAACCGUCUUCUUUCGGGGGUUAAAAGGUGUAUUGGAGCGGACAUGAAUCAACUACUAAUAGAGAAAUACAAAGAGGAAGAAGUUGUCGAGGCAAUCAACAGUAUCGGGCCAACAAAAGCCUCCAGACCUGACGGUUUCCCAGUAAUUUUCUUUCAAAAAUAUUGGCACAUAGUGGGGAGGGAAGUCAGCAAUUUCUGCUUGGAAGUACUUAAUAAAGGUAAAUCUUUACAACUGCUGAAUCAUACGAAUAUAGUGUUACUUCCAAAAACGUCUCACCCAAGAAAUCCCACCAAUUUUAGACAUAUUAGUCUAUGCUCGGUGUUCUAUAAAAUCAUAUCAAAAUCUAUCGCAAACAGACUUCAAAAAGUUACGGAUCAUUGUAUCGAUUCUGCUCAAAGUGCGUUCGUUCCGAGAAGACUAAUUUCUGACAACGUACUUCUCGCCUACGAAAUUCUUCACAUUAUGAGAAAUAAAAGGGUGGGGAAAAAAGAUCUUAUGGCACUUAAGAUUGAUAUGAGUAAAGCAUAUGAUAGGGUGGAAUGGAAGUUUUUGGAAAAAAAUGAUGAUCACAAUGGCUUUUGAUGUGCGAUGGGUGGAGUGCAUAAUGCAUUGUAUUAGCACAGUGUCGUAUUCGGUGGUUUUAAAUGGCAUGCCAGGGAUGGUUUUUACUCCAAGAAGAGGCCUAAGGCAAGGGGACCCUUUAAGUCCCUUUCUAUUCCUUUUAUGCAGUGAAGGGCUGUCAACACUUUUAAGGCUUGCAACAGAGGAAGGAGUAUUGAAAGGGAUUAAGGCAAGUAGAAGGGGACCUCAAAUUUCCUAUCUCUUUUUUGCUGAUGACUGUGUUUUAUUUGGAGAAGUGACCGGCAAGGGUAUUGCAACGUUUGAAAAGGUGCUCAAGGAAUACGAAAUUUGUUCUGGAAAAUGUAUUAAUUAUAGUAAGUCAACUGUGUUUUUUAGCUCAAAUACCAUUGAAAAUGUUCGAUCUACCAUAUCGAAUCGUCUAGGACUGAAAAGGGCAAACAAUUCUGAGAAAUACCUAAGCCUACCGAAUAUGGUGGGAAGGAAGGAGCGUUUGGUAUUCCAACAUUUAAAGGAUAGCCUAAAGUUAAAGAUAGACAAUUGGAGUACAAGAUUAUUAUCGCAAGGCGGAAAAGAAGUGUUCAUCAAAGCCGUUUUACAAGCAAUCCCCACGUACACAAUGGCAUGUUUUCUUUUGCCGAAAUCAUUAUGUGAAGAAAUGGAACAAAUCAUCGCAAAAUUUUGGUGGCAAAAAGGUUAUGGGAAACGAGGUAUUCACUGGUGUUUAUGGAGCAAAUUAUGCGAGUUAAAAAAGAGUGGCGGUCUCGGAUUCCGCAAUUUGGCAAAAUUUAAUUUGGCCCUUCUCGCAAAACAAGGCUGGAAAUUAAUUGACGAUUCUAAUUCCCUUUUGGCUAGAACGUUAAAAGUUAAAUAUUAUCCGAAUACUGAUUUUUUAAAUUCAGGUUUAGGUAAUUUACCUUCCUAUACCUGGAAAAGCAUAUGGGCAGCAAAGGGCCUCUUACUAUCGGGAUUGUGCUGGAGGGUGGGGAAUGGCCAUGACAUUCGUAUAGAAGAAGAUGUUUAGGUCCCAAAUGUGCCAGGUCUACUGAUUAACAAAAAGGACAGAAUGCAGAACAUCAUAAUGGUUGCGGAUCUUAUUGACAGUAAUAUCAGAGCAUGGAAAACAGAGUUGAUUUGGAGUACCUUUUCGGAAGUUGAUGUUCCAAAGAUUCUGCAAAUCCCUUUGGCCCAGCGUUCACAAAAUGAUCUUUUGAUAUGGAGGGGUGAAGCAUCGGGUAAAUAUACUGUGCGUAGUGGUUACAAACUACUAUUACAAGGCAAUGAUUACAAUAGUAAUGGUUACAGUUUGCCUGAAAUUACAAAAUGUUACAAGAAACUGUGGAACUGUAAUCUCCCCUCAAAGGUACGUAUUACAGUUUGGAGAGCCACUCUCAACUACCUCCCUACCCUAGUGAAUUUAAGAAUCAAAAGAUUAACGAAUAACGCCAUCUGCCCGAGAUGUAAGCAAGGGCUGGAAACUAGGGAACAUAUUUUUCGCGACUGUGCUGCUGCGAAGGAAAUGUGGAAAAAAUUAAAUUAUGUAUGGUCACUCAAGUUAUCGCAUAUGGACUAUAUGGAGUGGUUUACCUGGGUAUUGUUGCACAGUAAAGAGAAAGAAUGCUACAUCUUUGUCUGUGCCAUUUGGGCUAUCUGGUCGAAUAAGAAUCAAUGGGUACACGGAGGACAUAAGAGAACUAGAACAGAAAUAGCGCAGUUUGUAAUACAGUAUUUACAGGAAUUACAAGAUAUGGAAAGAAAACACCAUGCCAAAUACUCAGUUUUAGAUUCAUGGAAGGCGCCGGAAAGCAGGUUCCUCAAAAUCAAUUUCGAUGCUCCUUUUGAUAAGGGGAAAAAUAUAUCUUGUUCAAGGGUAAUAGUCAAGAACUUUAAAGGUGAUGUAUUGGUUUCAAAAUCGGUCAUCCAUGACAAGAUUUCUUCAAGAUUUGCAGCAGAAGCCUUAGCAUGUUUGCAGGCGGUUAUGGUGGGAAAAGAAUUGGGGAUAAAAUAUGUUAUUUUCGAAGGCGACUCUCUGACAGUUAUAAAAAAAUGAACAAAAAAAAAGAUAAAUCGGUAAUCGGCCCUUAUAUUGAUGAUAUUCAAGAGCAGAAGGCGAAUUUUUAUGGAUGCAAAUUCCAGCAUGCAAAAAGAGCGGCAAAUAGAGCAGCACAUAACCUAGCAUCUGAAGGGUGAAAAUGGGGGUGAAUGCAUACUUUGUUCAUGAGCUUGUUACUCAAGUUCUCACCGAUUCAGAAAUUGAUAGGGGAUGGAGAUGAAGGCCAUCACUGAGUCAACACCAUCUCCAGCAAAUGAGAGAGUAGGAGAAAAAAUUUUAGAUCUCUAUGACUGUUUGUUUCUCCAAGAGUUA
rnacentral:lncRNA from 1 species